rnacentral:rRNA from 1 species
GGACGAACGCUGGCGGCGUGCCUAAUACAUGCAAGUCGAACGGUCUUUCUAUGGAAGCUUGCUUCCACUGAGAAGAUAGUGGCGAACGGGUGAGUAACACGUGGGUAACCUGCCCAUAAGAGGGGGAUAACAUCCGGAAACGGGUGCUAAUACCGCAUAGUUUUCCUGAUCGCAUGAUCGGGAAAGGAAAGACGGCCUUUGUGCUGUCGCUUAUGGAUGGACCCGCGGCGUAUUAGUUAGUUGGUGAGGUAACGGCUCACCAAGACGAUGAUACGUAGCCGACCUGAGAGGGUGAUCGGCCACAUUGGGACUGAGACACGGCCCAAACUCCUACGGGAGGCAGCAGUAGGGAAUCUUCCGCAGUGGACGAAAGUCUGACGGAGCAACGCCGCGUGAGUGAAAGAAGGUUUUCGGAUCGUAAAACUCUGUUGUCAGAGAAGAACAAGUUGGAGAGUAACUGCUCCAGCCUUGACGGUAUCUGACCAGAAAGCCACGGCUAACUACGUGCCAGCCGCCGC